CCUACGGGAGGCAGCAGUGGGGAAUUUUGGACAAUGGGCGCAAGCCUGAUCCAGCCAUGCCGCGUGUGUGAAGAAGGCCUUCGGGUUGUAAAGCACUUCGCGAGAACGGCCGGUACCGGAAGAAGAAGCACCGGCUAACUACGUGCCAGCAGCCGCGGUAAUACGUAGGGUGCGAGCGUUAAUCGGAAUUACUGGGCGUAAAGGGUGCGCAGGCGGUUCUGCAAGUCAGGCGUGAAAGCCCCGGGCUUAACCUGGGAAUGGCGCUUGAAACUACAGGACUGGAGUAUGGCAGAGGGAGGUGGAAUUCCACGUGUAGCGGUGAAAUGCGUAGAGAUGUGGAGGAACACCGAUGGCGAAGGCAGCCUCCUGGGCAAACUGACGCUCAUGCACGAAAGCGUGGGGAGCAAACAGGAUUAGAUACCCUUGUAGUC
rnacentral:rRNA from 1 species